rnacentral:rRNA from 1 species
CAGCAGCCGCGGUAAUACGAAGGGGGCUAGCGUUGUUCGGAUUUACUAGGCGUAAAGAGCGCGUAGGCGGGCGAUUAAGUCAGGGGUGAAAUCCCAAGGCUCAACCUUGGAACUGCCUUUGAUACUGAUUGUCUUGAGUUCGAGAGAGGUAAGUGGAACUGCGAGUGUAGAGGUGAAAUUCGUAAAUAUUCGCAAGAACACGAGUGGCGAAGGCGGCUUACUGGCUCGAUACUGACGCUGAGGCGCGAAAGCGUGGGGAGCAAACAGGAUUAGAUACCCGCGUAGUCCCUGUCUCUUAUAA